UCCCAAAUAGUCUAGGCGGUUAGGAUACGUGGCUUUCACCCACGCGACCCGGGGUCGAGUGCCGGGUUGGGAA
rnacentral:tRNA from 1 species